AUUGAACGCUGGCGGCAUGCCUUACACAUGCAAGUCGAACGGCAGCAUGGGUGCUUGCACCUGAUGGCGAGUGGCGAACGGGUGAGUAAUGCAUCGGAACGUACCCGGAAGUGGGGGAUAACGUAGCGAAGGUUACGCUAAUACCGCAUAUUCUGUGAGCAGGAAAGAGGGGGAUCGCAAGACCUCUCGCUUUCGGAGCGGCCGAUGUCGGAUUAGCUAGUUGGCGGGGUAAAGGCCCACCAAGGCAACGAUCCGUAGCGGGUCUGAGAGGAUGAUCCGCCACACUGGGACUGAGACACGGCCCAGACUCCUACGGGAGGCAGCAGUGGGGAAUUUUGGACAAUGGGGGCAACCCUGAUCCAGCCAUGCCGCGUGAGUGAAGAAGGCCUUCGGGUUGUAAAGCUCUUUCGGCUGGGAAGAAAUCGCAUCUCCUAUACGGGGUGUGGAUGACGGUACCAGCAUAAGAAGCACCGGCUAACUACGUGCCAGCCGCCGCCGUAACAC
rnacentral:rRNA from 1 species